UCUUUCUAAUUCUAUUCUCAUAAGAUGAUCUUGGAUUUGUUCCUUUAGCACAGACUCUUUAGUGCAGUCCUGAUUUCUGUAUUAAUGAAUUGAGAAGAUGACAUCAGGCUCUUAGGUGGAAAUUCAACACAAAAGUGACGGAUGAUUUGCUGAGGAAGACAGACCUACUCUCAAUGUGCUUGGCCAACACGGUAGAAGAGAUCUCUGUUGGAAUGACAUGGGGUGACAGCAGCAGACAUUGAAAUUGGAAUUCUUGCUGCACCAAGCAAUGACGAAGGGAUCUGUGAGACAGUGCAGCACCCCCCAUAUAUGAACAACAGAGGAACUUUAUACAGAUAUACGUAGUUUUCUUCCUUAUUCUGUAUUGUAUGCCUUGUCAAUAGAGAAGUUAACUAGUUAAUUCUGAAUGAGGGAAAGCCUACAGAAAACCAGAAGACCCUCUACGUCAGCUCCUAGAGGCAUAAACAUUAUUUAUAGCACUUCAUUCUUAUUUAACUGAGGGAAGUAAGUGCUAAUAAAUGCUCAAAAUAAAGAGAUUAGAAAUGUGAUUUAGCACAGUCAGGGAUGAUGGUUAUUCAUCAGAAAUACCUAUUCAUUUUUUCCUAUUUAUUUUUCUUCAUUUUUCAUUGACAUAGUUGCCUAAGAGACUAUUUUGAUAUUGAUAGUUCAGGGAGGAGCAAAUGCAUGGACUAAAGACUUUCUGCUAUUUGAAUUUGCUAGAGAUUUUAUUAAAUAGCACCGUAGCUCAGGACAAGCUGAUUGCAUUUCACAGCCUAUUUCCCCAUACUCCCUAAAUGCUGAUUUACCAAGAAUGAAAUGCAUGUACACAUACUCUGGAGCAUGUGUUAAAGCUGUGCUAAACAUUUUCCAUGUAACUUCCAGCUGGCAACAUUUUGCCAGAAAGCCUGGUACUUAGAAAUGAUAAAUAAAUAAAACAAACAGAAACUUGUGUUGUAAUAAGGACACAAUGGAACAGCUGCAGGGCAUGGAGUAAAUUCAGCUUGACUUGAUGUGGACACAGUGGCUGGAUUUUACCCAAGAGAUAUUAGCAACAUUGAGAUUCCUAAGGGGAGGACUGUGGAGAGGGAAGAAGGGUUCUCAUUGGGAGGUCUCUUAGCACAUUUGGAAAAAUAAACACAGAAACGAUGAAAAAUAAUAUUUAAGCAGCAAAAUCAGCAUACACUGUCCUCCUGCAGUAUGUUGAAAAAACAUGAACUUGUCUCGGGAAGAAAAAAUAAUGAACAGAGCUUUGUUUUGGUUUGUUUUGUUUGGAGGGAGAAUGGGAAGAAGAUGGAGGGGGGCUGGAGCCUGGGAAGGCAAACUGUAUGACAACAACAGCCACCAAGUGAAGGAAAGAGAAACAGUGACGGAGGCGAAGCAAGAAUUUCCGACAUAACCACCACUCUGACUUUGGCUUGACUGGGUUGUCAUGAUCAAAUGACUUCGCUUGCCUGUUACAGGCAGGAAACGAACACGGUAAAUUCUAAAGAGACAGCAGUAUUUUAUGGAACACUUGUGAAAUAUUAAGGGCAUCCGCAACAAAAUUCUUGUAGGAAAAUUGUUCAGGAGAGACACAUGGAACAGUGAUAACACCGUCAUGGAACACAUCUUUUAGAGAUGUUUUCACAUGUAAACAGGCAAAGGAAACUGUAGAGUCUCAGUGCUUCAGCUCUGACCUCUGCCAAUGGACCACUACACCUGUGUCUCCUCUACAUACCCUUGCAGUCUAUGAGGCCAGUUCCAUUCACUUCAUACAACCUCUUUGAGGGGUAGCUAGACCAUCGUCAGUGUAGCUGUUUGCCUGCUUAGCUGAGUCUACAAUCAGAACCGGUGAGUUUUCUAGACUUCUGCAGCUGGAGGACGCAGCUCACCCUCCUCCCAGGUGCUCUGCAUUUUAGAGAAGGCGGCAUACUUGCUUAACUGUUUAUUCCCCUUCCAUCAGAUGAUGAGCUGGAGAUACGGUGACACUGAAGUCACGUCUGCAAAGUCUGCAAAGUGUUUGGAGAUCUUUAGGAGCAAGGUUGAAGAAAACCAAGAAAUAUUAUUAAAUUAUGUUUACUUUCCCAGAAUUUAUGAAACGUUUUUUGAUUUUUUGAUCUGCUGGUGAAGAUUUAAUUGUGUUGUCAGUGAUCCCACGCACCUUUUUGUGGGGAGACAUGCAGUUCAGGAAAAAGCAAAAAGAGAAAAUCACUGGAGCUGCAACAUAACUGCAGCAGCAUCUGCACUAACAUAGACCAUCAUGCACACAUCCCUUGAGCUUAGUCCUCAUUGGGACCAUGGCUCAUAAUUAACAACUAUCAGCUGCUGUGAUUACCAUAUAUUUUGAAUUACAACUGUAUUCAGGCUGAUUUUCAGAUUCCGUGUUAUAAGAUACUUCCUGUGUUGCAAUGACUGUUUGGACAGGCUUUCAGAAACCCAGUGCUGUAUAUCACUAGGUACACUUCCUUAGGUUCCAAGAAGACAGAGAGAAGCACUCAAGCUUCACGAGAUAGAUAGGAAGUGACUUAGCUGGACUGAAUAGGAGUUUUGACACCCUAGAAAACAUAACGAAUCACCUGGAGAGGUGCUGGAGAAUUUGGCUCAAAUUGUUUCUUUGAAGAAAGUAUAAAUAAGGUUUACACAGUGUACCUUCUCUAAACAGUUAGGACGCCUCCUCCCUUCAGGUUCACCAUGCUGUCAGGAGCACAAAGGGGUGUUCUUUUUCACGAAUGGGCAUUAAGCAUAAUCAGGACUCUUGAGAAUGAGUCUGAAGGCUCCAAACGAUGAUGAUACCCUUGCAGAACAUAGGUCUGUAUAUAGAUCCCCGAAGUCUAUAUGUAUAUCCCUGUGUAUAGAUACAUGAAUAUACAACCAGACGCCAUCAGACGUCUGUUCUAUUUUGGUCAAAAAGGGACUUUCCUGCAAAAAAUAUGCAGAAACGUGUAGCUACUCCUCAAAAAACUGCUUCUCUGCUUAAGUCCUACCUUGAAAUUUCUCUUUAUCUGUGGCUGAAUAGAGCACAAGGUUGGUCAUUCAAUGUGGACUAUGAACUCAGUGCUCAAAACCAAGACAAACAAUUGCAGGAAUUGGAUGAAAUAUUUGCCGAAGCAUUUUUGUCAGCCAAACCCAGGUAAUAUACAUUACAGAUUUACACCACAAGGGAAUAACCAUUGUGUACUUCAGAUCACCACAGAAAAAGAAAAAAUGUAAUAAGAAUGUUUCUAUACUAAAGCGAGUUCAUUGCUGUGUGAUUUUCUAACCAAAAUGACAUCCACAAACUUCCAAGACAAGCAUGUCUCCAAAAAUGUCUUUUCUCCUGAAAUCUUUAUGUGCAUCUAGCAUUUCUCUAAAGUCUGGUGCUGAAAGACAAAGAGAACCCAGCUGUCAUUUGAGGGUUCAUCCCCCUCAUCUACAUCCUUUCUCCUCAUGACCUGCAUUGACAGCCUUGGUUAACUUGGCUGAUGCUUCCUUAAUCCAUGGGAAACCUAAACUUGGCCAGCAUUUUGCUCAGUGUGGUUUGUUCCCUUUUCCUUUUCCAUGAAGCCUCAACUUUCCUGGCUGACAUUAAAUAAGUCGUAGGAGCCUGUGUUAGUCCCUCACAAAUCUGCGUGGGAGGGAAGAGAAGGGACAAGAAGGCAGCGGUAAACCAGCCACAAAUGCUGUUGUCCGUGGCUAUAGAUCCACGGAGCAGGUGGCUUAUGCAAUGGAUGCCUUUGUGUUUCCCCAUGCAGAUGAUUUGGUAGCACAGGACCAAACGCUGAGUGCAGACACAUGGCUCCAGAGACAUUUGCUCAAUUUAUGGGGUGAGGGAAAAAAGCAGAAUAUAUAUUUCAGAACAUAUUAGAUAUUUCUGAAAUACUUGAUGGUACAUAUACUGUGUGUUUAGCACAUGCAUUAUGCCUCAAAGUAUUCAUGCAUGGAUAUUUACUUUUAUUAUUUAUAGACCAGUUACCACACCAAGCCCACUUCCAGGCAUCAAGAAUAAACCUGUAUUUCACAGUUAUUUUUAUAACUGGCAGUAAAUCUUGUAGAUGGUGUGAGUACUGUGAAAGUUAUCUGACCUUGAGCAAGAAGAAAACCCCACAGGAAGACUUCUAUCUCAGAAAGCAUCAAGGUGUGCCUGAAAAUGGUUGCUUAUUUGCAGAGAGAGACAGUUUGGAUCUACCCUCAGUUCAUUGUUAAAAUGAAAGAACAUGCACACUUAACCCAAAUAUCUCAAAGCCAAAAGUACUUUCUUUCACAGUGGAUUGAGCAAGGUGUGGGGCCGGCAGUUUUUGGAAAAGGCUUCAUCGCGGUUCUCCAAGAAAUGUACACAUCAGCGUUAAACAGCCACAUCCGACUACAAGACCAACAUCAGGAAGAACACCAGUACUGUAUUCUGCAGCUUGCACCACACCAUACGCUUGCACUGCCCAAAAAGGUUCCACAUAGCUGUCUUUCCCGGUGCCAAUGAUGCUUUAAGGAGCCAGAAGACUCUGUCAGUAAAAAAGAAGCCAGUUAGGAGCACCAGAGACUAACAAAUGUUAAAGUUGGGAGAAACCACCACAAUCAUCUAUGAUAUUCAGCCCACACAAAACAAGGAAUUUUCCCAAGGCUAUCUGUAUGGUGUCAAUGUAUAAUUGCAAAAACCAGAGUGACAUCAAUAUUCUUCAAGUAAUUAGCACCUGGAAUGAUACCUCUCUACAGUAGUCAGAGGCUGUGCCUGAACAGUUAUGUAUAAUAGGCCUUUCUUGGCCCUCUGAAGGCAAAGUGGAUGUCAUGUCCCUGUGCCUGAAUCUUCUUCCUCCCAAAACAGGGUGCCCACAUGGCAUGUGGCAGAUAUUGCUCCUGAAAGACAACUCCCUGAACCUGUGCAUUGUCUGAGGGUGAUGGUGGGCCACAGACUGUGUGAGCAGCCUGGCCAGUAAUGGCAAGCACUCUGACCUAUUCAGCAGCCUUUACAAGCAUGAGUGAGUACAAUGAGAUAGACUAUAUUGUAUUAGACACACAGCAGAACAAAUACUUUUUGACAAACUCUGAAGUUUGGCUUUUUUAUAGGAACAGUCUGAGCAUAAAUGGUAGUUUUGGACAAAUGAUGUCCAGGCUAUAGAUUAUGCAAGGAAAACUCUAAAGCCUGAAUGAAUGUCUUGGUUUCAACUCCCAUCGUGUUAUCUUGGGAUAGUGACUUGUACGGUUCAACAGAAACCUAUGUGUGUGUGUAUAGAUAUAUAUAUAUGUAUAUGUACGGAAUGCUUAUUCGGGUACAGUGUUAAAAUCACUGAUUUCUAGGUAAUAUCUGCUGUGAGGCAAAUUCAUGCUAAUCAUGUAGUAGUCUACUGGCUCUGCCAGUACUGGUCAGAGCUAGGUUAAAAGAAAAUACCAGAUUGGGCAAAAAAGGCAAAUAUUAAAGGAAUUCUCUACUGAUCUCUGCUGUAGUUGGAGUAUACUAAGGCUCUAGAGGGUUACUUUGGCUGCCUGUGGGAAGUUGAGUACAAAGUGCUACACCCUAUCUUGAAAGGGUGGUCUUCUAUUUUUCUAUCAAAAAAGUUCUAGCUUUGAGAAUAUAAGAACACAAAUUUUGCCACGCAUAAGAAUAAAUCGUAAUCCAGGAUUUCUCCUCCAAAAAUAAGUAGACAGGGACUUAUGAAAAAACGUCCAGGAGCAGGGAAUGGACAGAGUGAUAAUGGUUUUGGAACCUUUUCUUUGUCAUGUAACUCAUGGUUGGGGGAUAACCUGAGCAGGAGGCAGUAGGUACAUCAUUAUGGUUAAUGGACCCCAUGGUUCUUCAUGUCAAGAAUCUAUUAGACUUUUGUAUGUGUUUAUUAGAGUUUUUACCUUCACAAUAUCCUGUGGCAAUGAGUUCCUUUAUUUAAUUA